UACGUAGGGGGCAAGCGUUGUCCGGAUUUAUUGGGCGUAAAGAGCGUGUAGGCGGCCAUGUAGGUCCGUUGUGAAAACUCGAGGCUCAACCUCGAGACGCCGAUGGAAACCAUGUGGCUAGAGUCCGGAAGAGGAGAGUGGAAUUCCUGGUGUAGCGGUGAAAUGCGCAGAUAUCAGGAAGAACACCCGUGGCUAAGGCGGCUCCUCUAGUACGGUACUGACGCUGAGACGCGAAAGCGUGGGGAGCGAACAGG
rnacentral:rRNA from 1 species